UACGUAGGCAGCAAGCGUUGUUCGGAGUUACUGGGCGUAAAGGGUGCGUAGGCGGCCCUGUAAGUAUGGUGUGAAAUCUCCCGGCUUAACUGGGAGGGUGCGCUAUAGACUGCGGGGCUCGAGUGUGGGAGAGGAAAGUGGAAUUCCUGGUGUAGCGGUGAAAUGCGUAGAUAUCAGGAGGAACACCGGUGGUGUAAACGGCUUUCUGGACCAUAACUGACGCUGGAGGCACGAAAGCCGUGGGUAGCAAACAGG
rnacentral:rRNA from 1 species